GCCAGCUUGUUGUGUCCUCAGAAGACAGGUUCUUUGUGCUAAUGUGGACAGAGUGAGCAUGAGUUCUCCAGUGUUUCUAAUCCAAACACAAGGACCAGAGGCACCAUCUCCAAACACAUCACAUUGGGAAUUAGAACUUCAACGGAUGAGCUUUGGAGUUGCUCCUGGGAACUACUAAGAUACUUUCUGGAUGCAUUUGCCUUUUCUGGACAUUUCACACAGGAUUAAGCCCAAGGCCUUAUGCAUGCUAAGCAAGCA